rnacentral:rRNA from 1 species
GAGUUUGAUCGUGGCUCAGAGCGAACGCUGGCGGCAGGCUUAAUACAUGCAAGUCGAGCGGCCGUAGCAAUACGGCAGCGGCAGACGGGAGAGUAACACGUGGGAACGUGCCCUUCAGUUCGGAACAACCCAGGGAAACUUGGGCUAAUACCGAAUACGUCCGUAAGGAGAAAGAUUUAUCGCUGAAGGAUCGGCCCGCGUCUGAUUAGCUAGUUGGUGAGGUAACGGCUCACCAAGGCGACGAUCAGUAGCUGGUCUGAGAGGAUGAUCAGCCUCACUGGGACUGAGACACGGCCCAGACUCCUACGGGAGGCAGCAGUGGGGAAUAUUGGACAAUGGGCGCAAGCCUGAUCCAGCCAUGCCGCGUGGAUGAUGAAGGCCCUAGGGUUGUAAAGUCCUUUUAACGGGGAAGAUAAUGACGGUA